rnacentral:rRNA from 1 species
UACGUAGGGGGCAAGCGUUGUCCGGAAUCAUUGGGCGUAAAGCGCGUGUAGGCGGCCUUGUAAGUCCGUUCUGAAAGUCCGGGGCUCAACCCCGGGAGGCGGAUGGAUACUGCAAGGCUCGAGUCCGGAAGAGGCAAGUGGAAUUCCCGGUGUAGCGGUGAAAUGCGUAGAUAUCAGGAGGAACACCGGUGGUGUAGACGGCUUUCUGGACCGUAACUGACGCUGAGACACGAAAGCGUGGGUAGCAAACAGG